rnacentral:rRNA from 1 species
AGAGCGAACGCUGGCGGCAGGCCUAAUACAUGCAAGUCGAACGAAGCCUUCGGGCUUAGUGGCGGACGGGUGAGUAACACGUGGGAACGUACCCUUUGGUUCGGAACAACUCAGGGAAACUUGAGCUAAUACCGAAUGUGCCCCCAUCCUUAAAAAAGAUGGGUGGGAAAGAUUUAUCGCCAUUGGAGCGGCCCGCGUCUGAUUAGCUAGUUGGUGAGGUAAAGGCCCACCAAGGCUACGAUCAGUAGCUGGUCUGAGAGGAUGAUCAGCCACACUGGGACUGAGACACGGCCCAGACUCCUACGGGAGGCAGCAGUAGGGAAUCUUGCGCAAUGGGCGAAAGCCUGACGCAGCCAUGCCGCGUGAAUGAUGAAGGUCUUAGGAUUGUAAAAUUCUUUCAGCGGGACGAUAAUGACGGUACCCGCAGAAGAAGCCCGGCUAACUUCGCGCCAGCAGCCGC